GAUGAACGCUGGCGGCGUGCCUAAUACAUGCAAGUCGAGCGAACAGACGAGGAGCUUGCUCCUCUGACGUUAGCGGCGGACGGGUGAGUAACACGUGGAUAACCUACCUAUAAGACUGGGAUAACUUCGGGAAACCGGAGCUAAUACCGGAUAAUAUAUUGAACCGCAUGGUUCAAUAGUUGAAGACGGUUUUGCUGACACUUAUAGACGAAUCCGCGCCGCAUCCGCUAGUUGGCAACGUAAUGGCUUAACAAGGCGAGGAUGCGAAGACGACCUGAAGGCGUGAUCGCCCAGACUGUCAGAGAGACAGAGUCCAGACUCCUGCGGUAAGCAGCAGUCGGGACUCUUCCGCGAGGGGGGAGUGGCUAACAGAGCAACGCGGCGUGAAUGAUGAAGGUGUUCGGAUCGUAGAGCUCUGUUAGUAGGGGAGAAGAAAUGUGUAAGUAACUAUGCACGUCUUGACGGUACCUGAUCAAAAAGCCACGGCUAACUACGUG
rnacentral:rRNA from 1 species